rnacentral:lncRNA from 10 species
GAUGUGUUUGGAGUUUCUUCCUUCUGGUGGGUUUGUGGUCUCGCUGGCUCAGGAGUGAAGCUGCAGACCUUCGCGGUGAGUGUUACAGCUCUUAAGGUGGCGCGUCUGGAGUUGUUCGUUCCUCCUGGUGGGUUGGUGGUCUCGCUGGCUUCAGGAGUGAACCAUAACUCUCUUAAAUUGAUGUGUCAGCAAACUAAAACUCAAUAUUUUUUUUCACACAGUAUAUUUUACAGUCAGAGGCCCUUCCCUAAUCGGAAUAAAGCAAUUUGGCUCCCUGUCAUUGCUCACUGAAAACAUAUGAGCUGGUUGGCAUUUCUAGCAGCCCAGAUUUAUCAGGGUCCAUGCAUCAUCUUUUUCUCUGCCCCAUCCAGUUCCUGCCAGGGUUCCUUCAAUGUGGGAAGGGCCACUCCUAUGACAUCAGCCAUAGGGGAGAAUUCUCAAAAGGUUGCUUUCCGAGGGAGAGAAGCCUUGAGCUCCCCCUAGAGGUUACAUGUUUCCACUUACUGUUUCUUUAUCAAGUGUUGGGAGUUUGUGAAGAAUAAAGAUACUUAUCUAUUGAAGAACAGACUUAUGUAGGGGCUACAUAUUGGUAAUACACAUUAUAUAUACUUCAUAAUUUCAUAUCUGAGCCAAGCAUGAUUAAAAACAAAGUAUGAACUAUACUUGGUUUCUUUCAGUCAAUCAUUUUUGUUUCAUUCACUCCUGCUAUAUGGCUGGAGAAAGGAUUCAUCUAUCCUUUAGUUACCUAUUUUCUAUGGUACUUGCAGUUCCUUUACCCCAAAGCACCUCAAAGCUAUAAUGGUUCAAAAGCAAUUCAUGAUCUCAGCACUUUAGGCUUUUAAGCUUGAACUGCUUAUUCCAUCAGGGUCACACUGGGACC